rnacentral:sRNA from 1 species
UUGGAAAACAGUCGGUCUCUCUUCCCUUCUCUCUCACUCGGUCUCUGUCUUUAUCGCAGAAUCGCAAAGGCCGAACGAAACCCUAAAAACCAGGUGUGUCGUCCUCUCCUUCCACCUCCCCAAGCUCUCUUGCACGGCCUCUCACUAGUCACCGCUCACCAAGUCGCCAAUCACCAUUGUUUUCCCCCUUCUAGUCGCGUCCUCCACCACUAGCUGUUAAGUGCUCACUUCGCCACUCCAAUCUUAAGUUAGGGUUUUGCUUGAUACAUAAAGAACUAAUGCGAGAGACAAAAAUGGCAAGGAAUUCAGGUGCAGCCAUGGCACUGCAAUAGCAGCAAGUUUUGCACUGCGCUUCUUCAUCGUCACAGCCUUCCUUCCAGUUCUUUCCAAACCCUGGCUUCUUCAAUCCCCACCUCACCACCUUCGCCUCCCACAGCAACCCCUUCCACCUCUAAUUCCCUCCACCACUCCCCAAACCUUCACUUUCUGCAGCUCCGACCUAGCUCCUCGCCCUCAGGGAAUUGAGAAUUGGAUCGUAUCAAUGCCUAAAUUCCAUCUCUUUCAAGAUGGGAAGAAGGUGGCUGAAGUUGUUGGUGCUGAUGUUGCUCGCUUGAGAGACACUUUUGGAAAACUCUACAAGUGAUCAACUGUGUCCAUGACUUUUGGUGUCAAUGACUCUCCCUUAGAUGGUCGUGACGGUACCCAUGCGCGGGUUCGUGAGACGGGUGCCUCCUCUUCCAGAUCGACAAUAGGACAGGUCAGCACUGACGAAGGAAGUGGCAACCCUAAAAGGUUAGCUUGCGGCCCAAGAAGCAGCCUGGGAAGCCGAGAUUGCAGCCCAGUUAUCGGCCCAGAAUGAUAAGAUGAGUAUGAUCUUACAAGCUUUACAGAUGUCCGGCCUUCAAAUCUCGAUGCCAGCACCUGAUCUUGCUCCACUUUCAACCUCCCAACCACUUUGCCCAUUCAAUACCCAGUAGCCAAACAUAGAUGACUACUUGUUGUAGUUUUUUCUUUUUUGUUCGGACAUCUUGUAUAUACAUUUUCAUAUAUUUUAUAAUUAAAUA